ACAAAGAGUCGAACAGGAGUGAGCGACUUUCACUUUCACUCCCCUCACACCCCCAGCGGGAAGGGAAGGGUGUCAGCUUCAGUUCUCCCGGGUGCUGACGUCUCACACCAGUGUCUGGACGUCCAUCCCCUUUUGUUUAGGGUCUUUUCUUCCCCUUCCACUGCCCACAGCCCCCAGUGCGCCUGUCCUCUGCUUACAGAGCCAAUGUUCUGGUACGUGUGUGUGUGUGUGUGUGUGUGCGUGCGCACAUAUGUGGUUUGGUGGGCAGAUGCACAUAUGAUGGGAAACACGAUGUGAGGCCCGCUGGAGGCUGCAGAGGAAACCUGCACAGGGUGGAGGCUGUUGGGGAGGCCACCUGAGAGGAAGGGGGCACUGAGAGAUAGGAAGCUCACCCCCUUCUUCCCCAUCCCCAUUCCUCCCGGGUGCCUCCCUGAGAAUCCCUGACCAGCGGGAGACUGCUGCUGUGGAGGGAGACCUCCGGCGCGUCCAGGGACCUUGAGGAUGCUGAGGUUUCCCUCCCCUUUGCCAUGUUCUGCUCUGACUCCUGUCUAGAGGAGCCUUCCUGUCGGAAAAGGUUCUGUUGUGUCUGCCUUAGGAGGGAAGGAGCUUUGGGGGUGCAGGAAAGAAAGGCUGGAGCAGGAAUGUUGGGGCCAAGUAUCCUUUCAAAGUUGGGGGGCACAGGGAUUCCAAUUCAGACGGGAAACUGCUCCUGGAGAAGAAUUGGUGGGUGUUUGGGGGAAUAUUGCAGGCGAGGAGGACAGCCCUCUGAUGCUCAGAGCUGGGAGGGCACGUGGAGAUGGUCAAAUCUGCGCCCCCACCCCAAAACAAGUGGCAGAACAGGGCUGAGGCAGCGAUCCGCUGCAGGACCUGGUGCCCACUCUGAGAGGAGGGUGUGGGGAGCAUGGCUUUUUACAAACUGUGUCUCUUUAUGCUGCCCUGGGAACUCCCUACACUGACAGCCCGGAGGGCUGUGUUCCUGCAGGAACGGGGCCACCACAAGCCUGUCAGAGCCCUGACUCUGCUAAGGUCCAGAGUCAGCCAGGCCAGCUAUUCAGGGGUCUUGGGCCACUGUGAUCACCCAUAAAUGGGCAGGGUCUUCCUACCCCGGGACACCCCUACUCACUCCUGGGCUACGCCAAGCCCUUCCCUGUCUUGGCCCAACGAUGGAUUGUUCUGGUCCCCACGUAUGGCUCCUGAGGCCACGCUACACUUGUGCCAAUGCUGUGCUAAGGACUCCUGGGGGGAUGCGCCCAGGUCUGUGGCUGAGCCGUGCCAGUCUGUCCCUGCCAGCCAUCCUCCGCCCUCCUGAGGGCCAGGUGUGGUCAGAAGAGUGAGCUUCUUAGGAGAGGAGACUGAGCUGGAAGGGAGGCCGAGAAGACCUGGGCAGAGAUGGGGGUGGGGGGGUCUCUGUUGUGGGCUGCCAUCCCUGCUAACCCUGAGUGAUGCUGUCCCUUCUGGGAGCGACAGAGGCUGCUUGUGCCCCACUGGGAGGCAGGGCAUCGCCUCUCUCCUGGCACCUGAGCGCUCUGGGAUGUGGUGGAGGAAGCGGAGACACUUCUGCCUUUAUCUGGUGUGGUCUGGAGUGGGGGGCUUCCUCUCAGGUGUGGGAAGACUGAACCGCAAGAGUCUAGAAAGCCCACCAGGGAAGCACUCAGUCCCUGCAGGGCUUCAGAUGGAAGCUUGUUACUGAGAGGACUGCAUCAGGCGGAGGUGUGGAGUCUUGGCCUGCGAGGCCUGGGAUGCACUAAGGGCUCCUCUGCGCCCUGCGCCACCAGCCCCAGCUGCUCCUGGUCCACAAGCAACCUGGAAGUUCUUUGUUGUGCUCAACGCCCACCUCCGCCGCCUCUCCCGACCACCGCGUCCAAGCAGGACCACGCAGUGGUGGCAGAAGUCACUUCAGACGCCCCAGGUCUCCAGCCCAGCGCCGGCAGACAGAUGUCCGGCUUCAGACCCUGAAAACUGAAGGUUUCCCAAACAGCAGCCCUGGACUCACCCCCUCCUUACAUGGAAGAGGAAUCACAGAAACUGGGGAAAGGAAAACGGACCUUCCAAGGAGAAAUUUCAUUUUAGUGACACCACUCAUCAUUAGUUUUUUAAUUAGGAAAAGCUCUUGGAUGAGGUGCUUUUGCCAGCUCACAGGGUUCUCAAUUUCCAUGAGAACCAUUCUUGGCUAGAGGGUUAGGGGAGUCGGUGCUCACCAAGCCUGGAUCUCCCUGCAGUGUCCAGUUGCGUUUGCAAAUAAUGCUGAUUCCCGGGUGCAGUGGAAAACCCUUUCCUGGCAUCAUUCAUGUUCCCAGUGCUGGCCGGAAAGCUCCAAUAUUCCUCUGCCUUAAAAAACUGCCCAGCCCAACACCUGUCUUCCCCCUCCCAGGACUGGAGUAGGUGGAAAAAAAAACCACAAGCUGCAGUGUUUGUUUCUAAAUAUUUUUGUAUCGUGUACAUUCUGUAUAUUUUUGUUGUAACAUAUUAUUUGAGCACAGAUUCCAUUAAAGAUUUUUUUUUCUUUAA